UACGGAGGGUGCGAGCGUUAAUCGGAAUUACUGGGCGUAAAGCGCGCGUAGGCGGUCUGAUCAGCCGGUUGUGAAAGCCCCGGGCUCAACCUGGGAACGGCAUCCGGAACUGUCAGGCUAGAGUGCAGGAGAGGAAGGUAGAAUUCCCGGUGUAGCGGUGAAAUGCGUAGAGAUCGGGAGGAAUACCAGUGGCGAAGGCGGCCUUCUGGACUGACACUGACGCUGAGGUGCGAAAGCGUGGGUAGCAAACAGGAUUAGAUACCCCCGUAGUCCCU
rnacentral:rRNA from 1 species